rnacentral:rRNA from 2 species
AAUCCAUAGGUUAAUGAGGCGAACCGGGGGAACUGAAACAUCUAAGUACCCCGAGGAAAAGAAAUCAACCGAGAUUCCCCCAGUAGCGGCGAGCGAACGGGGAGGAGCCCAGAGCCUGAAUCAGCAUGUGUGUUAGUGGAAGCGUCUGGAAAGGCGCGCGAUACAGGGUGACAGCCCCGUACACAAAAGCGCAUGUGCUGUGAGCUCGAUGAGUAGGGCGGGACACGUGGUAUCCUGUCUGAAUAUGGGGGGACCAUCCUCCAAGGCUAAAUACUCCUGACUGACCGAUAGUGAACCAGUACCGUGAGGGAAAGGCGAAAAGAACCCCGGCGAGGGGAGUGAAAAAGAACCUGAAACCGUGUACGUACAAGCAGUGGGAGCACCCUUUGGGUGUGACUGCGUACCUUUUGUAUAAUGGGUCAGCGACUUAUAUUCUGUAGCAAGGUUAACCGAAUAGGGGAGCCGGAGGGAAACCGAGUCUUAACCGGGCGUUAAGUUGCAGGGUAUAGACCCGAAACCCGGUGAUCUAGCCAUGGGCAGGUUGAAGGUUGGGUAACACUAACUGGAGGACCGAACCGACUAAUGUUGAAAAAUUAGCGGAUGACCUGUGGCUGGGGGUGAAAGGCCAAUCAAACCGGGAGAUAGCUGGUUCUCCCCGAAAGCUAUUUAGGUAGCGCCUCGUGAAUUCAUCUCCGGGGGUAGAGCACUGUUUCGGCUAGGGGGCCAUCCCGGCUUACCAACCCGAUGCAAACUGCGAAUACCGGAGAAUGUUAUCACGGGAGACACACGGCGGGUGCUAACGUCCGUCGUGAAGAGGGAAACAACCCAGACCGCCAGCUAAGGUCCCAAAGUCAUGGUUAAGUGGGAAACGAUGUGGGAAGGCCCAGACAGCCAGGAUGUUGGCUUAGAAGCAGCCAUCAUUUAAAGAAAGCGUAAUAGCUCACUGGUCGAGUCGGCCUGCGCGGAAGAUGUAACGGGGCUAAACCAUGCACCGAAGCUGCGGCAGCGACACUGUGUGUUGUUGGGUAGGGGAGCGUUCUGUAAGCCUGUG